rnacentral:piRNA from 1 species
UGGGAUGUUCAUUCAUGAAAU